rnacentral:rRNA from 1 species
UGAGUACGAGACGCUAAGGCGUCGAAGUAGUGUAUAUCAGACUUCCAAGAAAAGCUUGCACUGUCAUAGAUAAAAAAUGCCUGUACCAUAACCGACACAGGUGGGUAGGUAGAGUAUACUAAGGGGCGCGAGGUAACUCUCUCUAAGGAACUCGGCAAAAUAACUCCGUAACUUCGGGAGAAGGAGUGCCUUAUUUAUAAGGUUGCAAUAACAAGAUCCAAGCAACUGUUUAUCAAAAACACAGGUCUCCGCUAAGUCGUAAGACGAUGUAUGGGGGCUGACGCCUGCCCAGUGCCAGAAGGUUAAAGAAGUUGGUUAGCAAUUGCGAAGCUGAUAACUGAAGCCCUGGUGAACGGCGGCCGUAACAAUAACGGUCCUAAGGUAGCGAAAUUCCUUGUCGGGUAAGUUCCGACCCGCACGAAAGGCGUAAUGAUUUGGAUACUGUCUCGGAGAGGGGCUCGGUGAAAUAGACUUGUCUGUGAAGAUGCGGACUACCUGCACCAGGACAGAAAGACCCUAUGAAGCUUUACUGUAACUUGAAAUUGAAAUUGGACUUUAUUCGCGCAGCAUAGGUGGGAGGCGUUGAUUAUAAUCUUGCGGGAUUAUUGGAGCCAUCAGUGAGAUACCACUCUUGUAAUGUUAGAUUUCUAACUUUGAAUCAUUAUCUGGUCAAAGAACAGUUUCAGGCGGGCAGUUUGACUGGGGCGGUCGCCUCCUAAAUGGUAACGGUGGCGUACAAAGGUUUCCUCUGAACGGUUAGAAAUCGUAUCUAGAGUGUAAAGGCAUAAGGAAGCUUGACUGUGAGACCUACAAGUCGAGCAGGGACGAAAGUCGGUCUUAGUGAUCUGACGGUACUGAGUGGAAAGGCCGUCACUCAACGGAUAAAAGUUACUCUAGGAUAACAGGCUGAUCUCCCCCAAGAGUUCACAUCGACGGGGAGGUUUGGCACCUCGAUGUCGGCUCAUCGCAUCCUGGGGCGGUAGUACGUCCCAAGGGUUGGGCUGUUCGCCCAUGAAAGCGGUACGCGAGCUGGGUUCAGAACGUCGUGAGACAGUUCGGUCCAUAUCCGGUGUAGGCGUUAGAAUAUUGAGAGGAGCCUUCUUUAGUACGAGAGGACCGAGAAGGACAUACCUCUGGUGUACCAGUUAUCGUGCCAACGGUAAACGCUGGGUAGCUAUGUAUGGAGUGGAUAACCGCUGAAAGCAUCUAAGUGGGAAGCCCACCUCAAGAUAAGUAUUCC